rnacentral:rRNA from 1 species
AACGAACGCUGGCGGCAGGCUUAACACAUGCAAGUCGAGCGCCCCGCAAGGGGAGCGGCAGACGGGUGAGUAACGCGUGGGAAUCUACCCAUCUCUACGGAAUAACGCAUGGAAACGUGUGCUAAUACCGUAUACGUCCUUCGGGAGAAAGAUUUAUGGGAGAUGGAUGGGCCCGCGUUGGAUUAGCUAGUUGGUGGGGUAAAGGCCUACCAAGGCGACGAUCCAUAGCUGGUCUGAGAGGAUGAUCAGCCACACUGGGACUGAGACACGGCCCAGACUCCAACGGGAGGCAGCAGUGGGGAAUAUUGGACAAUGGGCGCAAGCCUGAUCCAGCCAUGCCGCGUGAGUGAUGAAGGCCCUAGGGUUGUAAAGCUCUUUCACCGGUGAAGAUAAUGACGGUAACCGGAGAAGAAGCCCCGGCUAACUUCGUGCCAGCAGCCGCCGUAAAAC